rnacentral:ncRNA from 1 species
AAAAACAGAAGAGGUGCGUUACCCAGGUAUCUAUGGUUGCGGGGCCCCACCCCAAUGCAGCCUUGAGAGGGGGUGUAACGCCGAGAUAUGACAUGACAGGGGGCAUGGCAUAUCGGCUUAGAAGGUUGAAUCCUUCUGGCUGUCACCUUACCGGGCAUAAUGGUUCCGGUAGGUGGAGGGCUUCUGGUUGU